rnacentral:rRNA from 1 species
GCGCGAAAACUUUACAAUGCGGGCAACCGUGAUAAGGGAACCUCGAGUGCCUGUAUAUGCAGGCUGUCUGGGUGUCUAAAACACACCUAAAGAAAGGGCCGGGCAAGACCGGUGCCAGCCGCCGCGGUAAUACCGGCGGCUCGAGUGGUGGCCACUUUUAUUGGGCUUAAAGCGUUCGUAGCUGGGUUAUUAAGUCCCUUGGGAAAUCCGACGGCUUAACCGUCGGGCGUCUAAGGGAUACUGGCAAUCUUAGAACCGGGAGAGGUGAGGGGUACUUCGGGGGUAGGAGUGAAAUCCUGUAAUCCUCGAGGGACCACCUGUGGCGAAGGCGCCUCACCAGAACGGCUUCGACAGUGAGGGACGAAAGCUGGGGGAGCAAACCGGAUUAGAUACCCGGGUAGUCCCAGCCGUAAACGAUGUGCGUUAGGUGUAUCGGUGACCACGAGUCACCGAGGUGCCGAAGGGAAACCGUGAAACGUACCGCCUGGGAAGUACGGUCGCAAGGCUGAAACUUAAAGGAAUUGGCGGGGGAGCACCACAACAGGUGGAGCCUGCGGUUUAAUUGGACUCAACGCCGGAAAUCUCACCGGAUAAGACAGCUGAAUGAUUGUCGGGCUGAAGACUCUACAUGACUAGCU